rnacentral:rRNA from 1 species
ACGAACGCUGGCGGCGUGCCUAAUACAUGCAAGUUGAGCGCUGAAGGUUGGUACUUGUACCAACUGGAUGAGCAGCGAACGGGUGAGUAACGCGUGGGGAAUCUGCCUUUGAGCGGGGGACAACAUUUGGAAACGAAUGCUAAUACCGCAUAAAAACUUUAAACACAAGUUUUAAGUUUGAAAGAUGCAAUUGCAUCACUCAAAGAUGAUCCCGCGUUGUAUUAGCUAGUUGGUGAGGUAAAGACUCACCAAGGCGAUGAUACAUAGCCGACCUGAGAGGGUGAUCGGCCACAUUGGGACUGAGACACGGCCCAAACUCCUACGGGAGGCAGCAGUAGGGAAUCUUCGGCAAUGGACGAAAGUCUGACCGAGCAACGCCGCGUGAGUGAAGAAGGUUUUCGGAUCGUAAAACUCUGUUGGUAGAGAAGAACGUUGGUGAGAGUGGAAAGCUCAUCAAGUGACGGUAACUACCCAGAAAGGGACGGCUAACUACGUG